rnacentral:lncRNA from 1 species
CACUGUGGCCCCCAUCCUGCACUGGGGACACAACUGGGCACAUGGGGACACUGAUUUUUCCUCCCCCUCCUCAUUCAGGGAGAGCCCAGGGUGAUCGUGGAUGGAGGACAGGGGCUGCCAGGGAGGAAAGGGGAGCCGGGCACGCCGGGCAUCCCUGGCCCCCCUGGGAGCCCUGGCCCACGGGGGCCCUUUGGUGAUCCAGGUCCCCCAGGUCCACUUGGACCUGUGGGGCCACCGGGACCUCCAGGAGAGUUUGUGAAGGGUGAGAAAGGAGACCGAGGAGAAAGGGGCCCCCCUGGACUUGUGGAUGGGGCAGUGCCUCGAGGGGAGCCCGGCCCCCCGGGGCUGCCUGGUGACCCUGGGCCCCGGGGACCUGCUGGGCCCCCCGGCCUGAAGGGAGAGAAGGUAAGAGGGUGGUGUGGAUGCUCCAUACUGGGGCUGGAACUUCCACCGCUCUCUGGCUGGGAUGCCGUCCCCAUCUCAUGGGCAUCCCCAUCUCACGGGCAUGGCUGUUGCCUUUCCUCAUCCCCAGGGAGAUGGCAAAGAAGGUUUCCCAGGGCCACCUGGCCGCCCCGGGGACCCAGGAGACCGGGUGAGUUUCCCAAGAGAAGGUAAGGUGGGCGGGAGCUGGCACCGCCAGUGAGCUGAGCCCUGAGGGCACCCUGGAGGGCUCCCACUCUGGACAGCCUAGGCAUUUGCUGUGCCA